GGGGUCUGGAAAUCCCGCAAGCUGCUGCGCUGUUCCGGCCCAGUCUCUGAGGUCAGGUUCAAAACUCGAUGUCUAAGGUCCUCCAUUCUGAUUUUAAAUUUAUCUCCCAAAUUUCUCUUAUUCCAGAUUAGGGCCUUGGUGACAGCCUCCUGCACACGAUCAGUGGGCUGGCCCUGGCGGUAUUCAUCAUCCAAAUAUUCCAGACUGUUUUGCUCGCGGAGACCGCUUGCCGAACUCUUCCCGACUGGGCAACGAUUUUCCAGUUUCGCUAUCUCUGUAGCUUCUUCAGGGAAAGAGAUCUGAUUCUCAUCGGUUAGGGUUUUUAAGGGGUAGGUUGAUGUUCCUCUCUUUCUGGGUGGAGCUUCCCAUGUGCUCGGUCCUAGGACCGGUCACUUUGGUUGGGCUCUACCUGUUCUUUGUUUGGACUGGUCGGUCCACUUCCAUUGUUUGUAAUGUUAUCAAAUGUAUCUGGUAUCUUGUAUCAUUUGCUGCUAGUGUUUUCAGCCUCUCUUGAUCAAUAAAUGUCCAAAUUCCUCUUGUCCACUA